rnacentral:sRNA from 1 species
UCUCGGAUAGGAAUAUCGGGGACGGUCAGCUGUGCGCCGUCCCCGGAAAGAGGG